AGCAGCCGCGGUAAUUCCAGCUCCAAUAGCGUAUAUUAAAGUUGUUGCAGUUAAAAAGCUCGUAGUUGAAUUUCGGGAUUGACACAUCGGUCGUGCCUUAAGGGGUAUGAACUGGUGUAGUCAAUUUCUCACCUUCUGGAGAACCGCGAUGCCCUUAAUUGGGUGUCACGGGGAACCAGGACUUUACUUUGAAAAAAUUAGAGUGUUUAAAGCAGGCAUUUUGCUUGAAUACAUUAGCAUGGAAUAAUAAAAUAGGACGGCAUGAUUCUAUUUUGUUGGUUUCUAGGAUCACCGUAAUGAUUAAUAGGGAUAGUUGGGGGCAUUAGUAUUCAAUUGUCAGAGGUGAAAUUCUUGGAUUUAUUGAAGACUAACUACUGCGAAAGCAUUUGCCAAGGAUGUUUUCAUUAAUCAAGAACGAAAGUUAGGGGAUCGAAGACGAUCAGAUACCGUCGUAGUCUUAACCAUAAACUAUGCCGACUAGGAAUCAGACGAUGUUAAUUUUUUAAUGUCACG
rnacentral:rRNA from 1 species